CGGUCCGUGCCGCAAGCGGGACCUCUCCGGACGGUGCACGAUUUUCCCUCGCCAGUGUGCUCGCCCUUCGCGGUGCUCCUUGGCACCUUGGGGACUGCAGGAAGAGCUACUUAAAUAGCCUGCCUUUGCCUUCCCUGGUCUCGCAGUGCGUGCCUCCACCUUUCUCAUUCCUGACCCCCUGCUCGCUCUUCCCAAACUUUCUCUCACCCAUCUUGUCUUGGCUCCUUGGAGGGAGAAGCAUGGUGAUUUUAGGCAUUCACUGCCAUCCUGCAGAAGUGCAGAGGAUCUGGUAUAUGACUUGAGGGCAGAGCCCAGGAUACCCCCACUGACUGCAGCAGAAAUUUCUUCCUCAGGAGAGAUUUCCUCCACCAUGCGGCUGGAGGAUUUCUCAGGGAAGCUGCCACAGCACUGAGCUCUCCAGAGACCAUAUCACAGUGUUCUCCAGCAGCUUCUGAUGAAUCCUAGUCUCCUAAGAUCUAGAGGCUAGUACUCCAAAAUUAAGGUGCCACAUGGCCAGGUUCUGGUGAGGAUCUGCUUCUUGGCUUGCAGAUGGUCACCUUCUCACUGUGUCCUCACAUGGCAGAGAAAAUGCUUCAUACACUGAGGAUUCCACCUCUGCUCAUAGAUGUCACCCUCCUUCAUCUGGCCUCAGUCCUUCAUGCUGCAGCCUGACACCACUCCUUCCCAAAGUCAGCCACCUGUCAACAAGAACUCCACAUCACCUACUAAUAGACGCUCAGGAGCACAAGAAAGUCAUAAGGCAUCACAUGAGGAAACCAUAACAGGCCAUGGGGCAUAAAAGAAAGAAGAAAGACAAGACCCUCCAACACCACCUCCUGUGGCCAAAACAUGGUCACCACCAUUUGGAAAAUACUUUGGUGGGGUGCCUGGGUGGCUCAGUUGGUUAAGCCUCCAACUUCAGCUCAGGUCAGAUCUCA